CUACGCAUUGUGACUUUAAUCCCUGACAAUCUUGGGUGAGAGACAUUUUAUUGAUGACCCUCCUAACACUGAUCUGUGGAAGACUAAUUCUGUCUCUUUCCAGUACUCCCGGAUGCAACUGCACCCAAUAGGUAUGUGUCACACGAGAGAUGUAGCUACAAACAUCUUUUCCUUUUGCCAAUUCACACUUUUAUUAGCCACGUUAUCAUAAGCAAGGGUGGCUUGUUCUUAGUACAUUUUAGAUGGCUCUUCUCUUGAAACAUUGUCAUUUCCUCUAAAUGUUUGGCCAUUAUCAGCUGGCUGUAGUGUUAAGUCUUGGUUUUUCCUUUCUCACUUCCAUUUUUAGCCCAUGGAACUAAAGCUAACUCAUUUCAGGUAGUGCAACGUGAGACACAUCAUUUGGUGCUCCUGACACUGAGGUCUCACAACUGUGAAGGGGUGUCAUGUUCCCUGGUCUACCCAUCACUCAGGACAUCAAAUCCUGGGGCUCUCUUCACAAACAGACCUUGUAGAUUUCCGUGAUUCUGACAACUGUGUUGCAGCAGAUAGCAGCUGGUGGCUUUUCUAAUGCAUUGCAAAGGCAGUUCGGGCUGGUUGUGGAACAGAAAGUGCUGUGUGGGCCGGAUGACUGUUCUAGCCACGCGCUGUGGAGGGUGAGGUGCCUGCUACUCCCAUACUGUCACAUGUUGGUGUCAAGCCUGCAGGGCAGAGGCUAUGGAGCACCUGCCUCUACUGAGGUGGCCUGGCGGCAUCACCUGCUGAGCUGUCUGUACCAAGGCAGCUGAAGCCUACACAGAAACCUCCUUGUGCAACUCUCCACGUGAACCAGUCACUGGAACUGCGGUGCCCUGGGCGAGAGAUUAACGAGAUUUCACCAGAAUUCACUCACAAAAUUCCCUGCAGAUACACUGUGUUUUCCAUUCCACUGACGUGUAUCUUCUGCAGCAACCGCAUCCUGCUGGUUCCACAUGCAUCGUCAGAAGGUGAACCUGUGAGUCACAGCGAUGCUCCAGGCUCCACAUGUGAGCAAUCGUGCAAGCACCGACUCCUAGAGAUGGAAGAGGCCCAAGAGUGCCUGAUGCAAAAGUCCCUCUCCGGCACCCUGUUAGACAGUACUGCAGCGCAUGUUUGAAACAGACGACAGAGAAACAGGACACCUGCCUCCCACUCGCCGGCCCUGUGUUCCCCGGUCACUCCUGAGCUAUGCGGGAAGCGGCUGCAUCCAGAGUCACAAAGGAGUCUGACGCCAGAACCAUCAACAUGGGCUUUCCUCCAGCUAAAGUGCUUCAGCUCUCCUAGUCUUCCGGGAACCUUGGAAAAUAUCCAGCCUCUUGAAUUCCCACCUCAGAUGUCAUCUCAUCCAGAAAGCCAUUUGUGACAGUCCGUGAGAAAGAACUUAACCUUCUUCCUCUGCACCUUGCUGGAAGCCAGUCCUCUUAGCUUGCUCUGUGUUUUUUUUCUCAUAGACUUUAUUAAUAUACAGCAUAGUAUGGCAAUGACUUGUUUUAUUUAUUAUGUA
rnacentral:lncRNA from 1 species